AGUGAACGCUGGCGGUAGGCCUAACACAUGCAAGUCGAACGGCAGCACAGUAAGAGCUUGCUCUUACGGGUGGCGAGUGGCGGACGGGUGAGGAAUACAUCGGAAUCUACUUUUUCGUGGGGGAUAACGUAGGGAAACUUACGCUAAUACCGCAUACGACCUACGGGUGAAAGCAGGGGAUCUUCGGACCUUGCGCGAUUGAAUGAGCCGAUGUCGGAUUAGCUAGUUGGCGGGGUAAAGGCCCACCAAGGCGACGAUCCGUAGCUGGUCUGAGUGGAUGAUCAGCCACACUGGAACGUAGCCACGGUCCAGACGCCUACGGGAGGCAGCAGUGGGGAAUAUUGGACAAUGGGCGCAAGCCUGAUCCAGCCAUCCCGCGUGGGUGAAGAAGGCCUUCGGGUUGUAAAGCCCUUUUGUUGGGAAAGAAAAGCAGCAGGUUAAUACCCCGCUGUUCUGACGGUACCCAAAGAAUAAGCACCGGCUAACUUCGUG
rnacentral:rRNA from 1 species